rnacentral:lncRNA from 1 species
AAAAGUCCUGGGUUAAUAUUCUAAGGUACAUGAUAUAUUCUUUCACUAUGAGUUGAAUAAGGUCCAGAUCAAAUUGAAGCAGAAGACACAGAUUUCAUGCAAAGAACUGAGGAGGUAGCUUUAAAGCUAUAAAAUUAGCAAUUUUCUCCUGGCCCUUUCCAUUUUUCUCAAAAUUCAAGUAAAAUUUUUUUCAGUUAAAAAUAAGCAAGACACAAUAACUGCAGUCAAAUCACAUACAAAGUACCCUAAAACUUAAAGUAUAAUAAUAAUAAAAUAAAAAAUAAAACAAAGUUAUUAUAGAAGAGAAUAUGAAGUAGAAUAAUGUUUUUGUAAACAAUGAAAGCAAAUCAAAUGGAUACAUUCAAAAAAGUUUCUCCUUCUAGUGGAGCCAUCCUUAUACAUUGGAGCCUGAAGAGCGUGCUCACAUUUUCAGAAGCUGCUUCAGGCUGACCUGACGCGCAUCCUGUGAGCACCUGCUGGUGGCAUUGAUUCCAUGCUCCCAGGACCAUCAGAAGCUGCUGCAUUUCUCCCACCUUCUUCCAAGAAGAUGGUGAUGCCAUGAGGUUUUGUCUGAAGUUUAACCCAUCUGUCCAAAUUUUCGGGUUGAUGGGGAUACCUGGCCACCCAGUUUGUUGUAGAUAUUUUCUGUAAAAUUUUGGUUUUCCUCUAUUAGGCAAAAUUUAAAAAUACUCUUGCAUUUUUUGUUGUGUAUUUUUGAAUGCAUAUUUUUGUUCCCCAGAUUUAAAAUUUUGGAUUUUCUGCUUUUCUUGAAGAGCUAGAUGAUAGAGCAAGACAGUCUACAUUUAUUUCAUGUCUGAAAGGCUGGAAAAGAGAUCAUGUUCCCCACCAUCUUCACCUGAUCAUAUUUGUCUAAUAUAGAUACUUCCGUGAGCAGCCCAAGCCCCUCUUCACUGACAAGUUCUACCUCACCUUAACCGAGGGCAUUGCUCUUUCAGACAGACCACCUUGCAAAGGACAGCUGCAUACUCAACCUGCCGCUGUUUCUCCUGGAGGCCAACCUGGUGACCUUCCUCUUCCCUCUGGACCGCCUGAGAAGGGCGGCAGAAAAGGAGAUGGUGACAAGAUGCCUCUGCACAACCUCGCCAUGGUUUUGGCCCCAUGAUGCUCUGGCUUUCUAGUCUUCAUUGCUUUGUCUCCAACUCAAGCAUAGUUUUUGUUUGUUUGUUUGUUUGUUUUACUCAUUCUUGAGAGGAAGCCAUUAGCUUUCUUUGGAUGCUUUGUCAUUUAUCUUAUGUGACUACACCAGUUAAUCAAAGGAUCACUUGCUGCUCUUCUUCCACUAAAACAACACCCACUUCAUGCUCAUUGUCUAAAGUGGGGGCAUCAUUUGUAACUACAGAUACUAAUUGUGGGGAUCCCAGGUUUAUUAUGUGGGAGAGACUGAGACUCCCCUCAUCUGUCCCCUGAGGAGGGUUCAUAGGUGAGUGAGAAAGGGACAAGGCAGCGAUGUGGACAUCUCCCCACAUUGCCCAAGGGGCAUUGCUUCCUAGUGAGGAAACUCUCGCUGCAGUUUUCUGGCAGGGAAAUAAUACAAUCUCCAGAUCAUUUAUCAAUUUUGUUUUUUUUAAAUAAAUAUUUUGCCAUUAUUAGAUGAGUAUAUAAAAAAUAAAUAAUAUGGAUUUAUCUUGCAGUGUACCAUUUAACUCCAUCCCAAAAUAGAUCUAUUAUCUUCUCUUUUGUUCAAUGAAUACUAUUCAUACCUAGGCAAAACUGUUGCUGUUACUCAUGAUUUAAGGGCAUUAGGAAUACAACUCUAGGGAAAAAAUACUGCUAUUGGAAACCAAAAAGAGUGUCUGGGACAGGUGUCAAUCUAUUUAGAGGUUUUUUUCACCAAGGUUGAGGAUGCACCCGGGAAAAAGAGACACAAGCCACAGUGGAAUCUGUGGCCUGCACUUUUUCCAAAGAGUUUUGAGGGUUUCAAUAUUUAUAGGGGAAAAAGCAGGCCAAAGGGAAAGGAAAGAAGACAAAAAGGGGAGAGUAGAAAAAAUGAGACAAGUGGUCUCAUUGUCUUGAGGCUUUCAUUAGUUCUCACUGAAGCCACAGGUUGCCCAUGAAAAGGAGGGGGUAGAGGAACAGCUGAUUAUGUGCUCGCCUGGCACUGGUAAGGCUGCACCUCACAUGAGAUAAAGCAAACAUAGAGUAGAGGAAGCAUCAACAUGCAUUUGUCUUGGGGUGGUGGUAGGAAUAUUUCUAGUUUCCUUUUGUCCUGUAUCCCUGAAGAUAAGUUGCUAAUUUACAUGGUCAGGGUGAGGGAGGUAACCUGGAAAGAUAUGUUUAGGAACAAAAGGAAAGAUGGUUUCUGGGUGUGACUCAGUUUCCAAGUUUAACUUUCCCUUUUGGCAUAGCGAGUUUGGGGUCCCAACAUUUUAUUUUCCUUUUACACUAUUGACUACUAACAGUCUUUGUUGUUAAAUUCCAUCUGUUUUAAAAUUUUAAUAAAAUAUUUAUAUCAUAAAAUAUAAAUUAUUCACUUAUAAGAUUAAUAUAAAUAAUAUUAACAAAACAUUGUCUUGAAAAAUGUAGUUUGACAAAGUUUCAAUCUGAGUAAAAGAUAGUAUCUUAAAUACAGUAUUUUUUCACUGCUGGUGAGAGAGAAUCUAAACUUUCUGUGAAGACUAAGAAAGUCUCACAUUCUUGGUGCACGCCAGGAAGCCCCGUGUUCCUUGGAUGUGGAGGAGUUGAACAUGAAGGAGCUGGCUGUGAUGUCAGCAUGUGAAGGUGGAGGAACUCCAGCCCAGGAGGGGCUCCUGGAUCCACCCGCCCCAGAUGGACUCGAGGUGGGGAAGGCAGCCUGGAGGCUUGGGAGGCCUGAGUAGAGAGGAGGGAACAGCGCUCCCUUAAGACCCAGGCCCACUCCCAGGGAAGGGAGCAGCAGGGCCACACUCUUGGCCACCUUGGAAGAGCUCCUUGCUGUGGGCUGAUUCCCACGACCUUGUCUAGGGAUUCCAGCAUUUUAGGUAGCUCCUCCAUUGCCUUCGUUGGUUAGAGCAUUUGGAACUUUUCUUUUUCACUUCUCGAACCAAAGAAGUUAAUUCCUUCAUCGAUACCAAGUUGGCACUCUUCACCUUUUUGUAAGCAUCUGCAAGGCUGGGAAUAUUUAAAGACUCCUUCUUUAGCCAGGCAUUCUCUAGUGCUGCCUCCAUCUCUGCAUACUCCUUUUUCAAAACACCAAGCUUCUAAAUGAAUUGAUUUUUUUCUCACAUUCUGCAGCCUGUGUUUUGUGAGUCACUUUUCAUGUCUUACAUAAAGUCAGCUUCUAACAGAUUCAACAAGUCUGAACAAAAAUAAAAGACCUACCAAGAAGCUGAUGAGACCAGUGUCUCCCCUGAUGGCUUUGGAAAGUGAGUUGUGGACUGAAGCCAUUGGGCAGCAUCUUAUAUAUCACCUCACACAUUUCGUAAAUAUCAGCCCCAAACGAAGUUUCACAGAAGAUCCCGGCCCCUCCAUCCCUGCAACCAUGGAUUCUGCACCACAACAAACCCUGGGGAACACCUCAGCAUUCCACCUGGAAUCAACCAGGAACAGGCAGCCUAUACUAGUCAGUUUCAUGGUCACCAUCAAGGAGGAUUAGUAAAUAAACAUGCUUGUCUCCUUACUGUCUAGUAAUCAGUCUUCUUUACCUGUUUCUUAUUGUAUGUGUAUCAACAGACAAUUAAAAUAUAGUGAAAGGUGCCAAUCUUAAGUGUAUAGCUUGAAUAAGCCUUUAAAAUGUUAUACCCCCACUGCGUCCUGCAACCCUAUCAAGGUAUGAGUCCUGUGUAUCAACACAGAAAUCCCCCCCAGUUCCUUUCCAAUCAGUGUCCACUCGCCCUGACUCACGCAGCCUUGGAGAAGGUUGCUCUGAACACAUCCCAGUUGAGCCUCAGCAUCAAGGUCAUGGAAUCAAUUACAAUGUGCUUUCUGAUCUCUGCCUGCUUUGCUCAAAGUGUUUUUGAAACUUAUCUGUUCU